GAUGAAGAACGUAGCGAAAUACGAUAAUUAAUGUGAAUUGCAGAAUUCCGUGAAUCAUCGAGUCUUUGAACGCACAUUGCGCCUCAUGGCAUUCCGUGAGGCAUGCCCAUCUCAGCGUUUGAAAAUAUUCUCAAAUUUUAGUUUUGUGCUAAAAUUUGGAUCAUGUCAAAGAAGCUAUUACUAUUAUUGUGAUCGCUCUUUGGAAAUUGAUAGGUCUUUGAGUUGCUACUCAUAGAACGUGAUGAAUCUUUCUUCGUUCUAUUGUAAUUCACUCUGGUAGUCCUAAAACUUGUAUGCCUGUGGCAUAUCUUGUAAUUUGACCUGAGAUUGGGUAGGGAUACCCGCUGAACUUAAGCAUAUCAAUAAGCGGAGGA
rnacentral:misc_RNA from 1 species